UUUUUGAUCCAUGGUGCUAUCGAUGGAUUUAGUCAUCUUAUAGUAUAUCUGAAUGCUGCCACUAACAAUAAGGUGACCACUGUGCUUGAUGCCUUUGUUCGUGCUGUUAGCCAGUUUGGCUUGCCCUCUCGUGUUUCGUUCAGAUAAAGGAGGAGAAAACAUUGAGGUUGCUCAUUUUAUGGUACAGAACCGUGGAGAGAACCGCAACUCUCACAUCACUGGAAGAAGCGUUCACAAUCAGAGGAUUGAACGUCUAUGGCGAGAUGUUUACACACAGUCCUCGAUUUGUUCCAUAUGUUGUUUUACCAUUUGGAAGUGACAGGACUCUUGAAUCCUGAUGAUGAGAUCCACCUCUUUGCUCUGCAUUGGGCAUUUUUGGCCCAGUUAAAACAUCAGCUUAAUACUUUUAAAGAAGCAUGGAACUUGCACAGGCUGAGAACUGAGAAUGGUCGCUCUCCAUACCAACUUUGGCUUCAAAACAGAGAGGCUGCCGAUGAUCUGGAAACUGUUGAUGAUGACUAUGGUGUUGACUGGGAUGGACCACAUGCCGUGGAAGAUGCAGACUGCAUUUCAAUCCCAGAUGUAGAGUUACCACGACGUCUCACUGCAGAGGAGUUGGCAGGUCUUCCGAACCGGGAAAUGCCACUAAAUGAGGCAAUUGAUGCUUACAUGAGUAAAGUAGCCCAAUUGACAGAGAUUUUUAGACAUUGAACGUUUUGAACAUGCAUGCACACCACAAACAGCUUUUCCUUUGGUGGGUUUAUUUCAACAAAUGUCAGAACUACAAAUUUUCUCUUAGAACAUGCAUGACAAUGUAUGACAAUAAAGUACAUUGAGAAAG